GAUAAACUCCCGAUCAAUUUAAUCCCCUUCACAUCAGGCCAUCAUUCUUCAACCUCCACGCCACAACUCAGCACACGUACAACACUACCGGCCGGGCACUGAUCCCUCCUACUCCUCCCAAACCUCCCAAGCCGAGCGCUGCUGUUUCCACUCACCGGAGAUCCGACGACCGCGGACGUUUCAAGGACGAGUUCGACCGCUAGGACCUCGUCCUGGAUCACGCCGCUCCGUCUGCUCCACGUCGUCCACCACUUCAUAAACUCCAUAAGCGCCACAACGAUGACAAGAUCAGCGCACGCCUGUGGCCGCCGUAUAUGCGUGUUUCUCCAUGUUCGUGUGAAGAGCGACGUGUUUUGGUUGAGAGAAGUGAACGAUCUUCAAUUACCAAAAAGGCAAGUGACAUUCAAAUCCUACUUAUUUUAAUUAUGCACUAGUGUUUUAAAACUAGUAUGCAUGGUAGGAUUUUGUUUUCAAAAGUAAAGUAUUAUGCU